rnacentral:lncRNA from 10 species
AAUGAAUAAGGGCACGUGACAUAGAAAUGGCUAAUUCUGUUUUAUAAAAUCCUACUGUCAGUGAGUGUCCUCAUAUUCUCUUGUGCUCAGACUCAUUUUUGACUAAUGUAACGCUCUGUGGCCAGGAGCUAUUUACUGGAAUUGUGAUGAAUAAUUCUCCACCUUACCCUACCCCAAACAAGCACUGUGUCGAAUGAAAGUUGUGAGACUUGGCCUUCUGUUGGGUCUUAAGUGGUCUCUGCUAGUGUCUGACUGCUGCCAAGUAACUAGCACUUUCAAACAAUCACUACACAAGAAGGCAUCUGAGUUUCUUGAGUCUGAUGUCCUUCCCUUUCAACUUCUUCAGAUUUGGCCUAACAUCAUUGGUAGAGGUGUUUGCUUUGUAAACCAAAUGAAAUCAUACUCCAUACAAUAAACCAUGUGUUCGGAUGUGCCAUCAACAGAUGGAUGGCAUGCUGUGUGGCUAUCAAAAGCCUUUGUUUAAAUAGAGUAGAAAGUUUAAGAACAUUCCAACAGCUUGUGGAACUUUUUACAUAUAUGUCUAUAUUCCAGGCUAGUAAUAAGAAAAAUUAGGCCAGGCCCAGUGGGUCACAC